CUAGUUUUCAGGCGCCUCUGUAUGGCCCCGUGAGAGGUGAAAUUCUUGGUGGGGAGCUUCCCGGAAACGAAAGUCUUCCGGCGGGGCCAAGUAUGGUUGCAAAGCUGAAACUUAAAGGAAUUGAAAGGAGUCGACCGUCGCUGCCCGGGACUGAGCCAUUUCGAGAAAUUUGGGGACCGUUGAUUUAAUUUUUCUAAAUUAUUCCGUUAAAGAACCAAUUUAAUCGCAGUGGCUUGAACCA
rnacentral:rRNA from 1 species